rnacentral:misc_RNA from 1 species
UUUCCGUAGGUGGACCUGCGGAAGGAUCAUUCAUAAUAAGUGUUUUAUGGCACUUUUUUAAAUCCAUAUCCACCUUGUGUGCAAUGUCAGGGUUGGUCUCUUUUUGAUCAGCCCCAAACAUCAACUAUUAUCUCAACUCUUUGUCUGAAAAAUAUUAUGAAUAAAACAAUUCAAAAUACAACUUUCAACAACGGAUCUCUUGGCUCUG